rnacentral:rRNA from 1 species
CGGGGUGCAGCAGGCGCGAAAACUUUGCAAUGCGGGAAACCGUGACAAGGGAACUCUGAGUGCCCGUUAAAUCGGGCUGUCCAUCGGUUUAAAUAACCGGUGAAGAAAGGGCCGGGCAAGACCGGUGCCAGCCGCCGCGUAAUACCGGCGGCUCGAGUGGUGGCCACUAUUACUGGGCUUAAAGCGUUCGUAGCUGGUUUGUUAAGUCUCUGGGGAAAUCUUCCGGCUUAACCGGAAGGCGUCUCAGGGAUACUGGCAGACUAGGGACCGGGAGAGGUGAGAGGUACUCCAGGGGUAGGAGUGAAAUCCUGUAAUCCUUGGGGGACCACCUGUGGCGAAGGCGUCUCACCAGAACGGCUCCGACAGUGAGGGACGAAAGCUGGGGGAGCAAACCGGAUUAGAUACCCGGGUAGUCCCAGCUGUAAACGAUGCGCGUUAGGUGUAUCAGUGACCACGAGUCACUGAGGUGCCGAAGAGAAAUCGUGAAACGCGCCGCCUGGGAAGUACGGUCGCAAGGCUGAAACUUAAAGGAAUUGGCGGGGGAGCACAAGGGCGAAUCGCG